rnacentral:rRNA from 1 species
UACGUAGGGUGCGAGCGUUGUCCGGAAUUAUUGGGCGUAAAGAGCUCGUAGGCGGUUUGUCGCGUCUGCCGUGAAAGUCCGGGGCUCAACUCCGGAUCUGCGGUGGGUACGGGCAGACUAGAGUGAUGUAGGGGAGACUGGAAUUCCUGGUGUAGCGGUGAAAUGCGCAGAUAUCAGGAGGAACACCGAUGGCGAAGGCAGGUCUCUGGGCAUUAACUGACGCUGAGGAGCGAAAGCAUGGGGAGCGAA